CCGUGCAACUGACGGUACCUGCAGAAUAAGCACCGGCUAACUACGUGCCAGCAGCCGCGGUAAUACGUAGGGUGCAAGCGUUAAUCGGAAUUACUGGGCGUAAAGGUGCGCAGGCGGUUCGGAAAGAAAGAUGUGAAAUCCCAGAGCUUAACUUUGGAACUGCAUUUUUAACUACCGAGCCAGAGUGUGUCAGAGGAGUGGACCCGCGCAGUGAAAUGCGUAGAUAUGCGGAGGAACACCGAUGGCGAAGGCAGCCUCCUGGGAUAACACUGAUCGCUCAUGCACGAAAGCGUGGGGAGCAAACAGAUUAGAUACUCCUGCAGUCUGCAUUGCCCUAAACGAUGUCAACUAGCUGUUGGGGUCUUUCGGGCCUUGGUAGCGCAGCUAACGCGGGUAAGUUGACCGCCUGGGGAGUACGGUCGAUUAAAACUCAAAGGAAUUGACGGGGACUCCACAAGCGGUGGAUGAUGUGGAUUAAUUCGAUGCAACGCGAAAACCUUACCUACCCUUGACAUGUCUGGAAUCCCGAAGAGAUUUGGGAGUGCUCGCAAGAGAACCGAACACAGGUGCUGCAUGGCUGUCGUCAGCUCGUGUCAGGAGAUGUUGCUGUCUCGCAACGAGCGCAACCCUUGUCAUUAGUUGCUACGAAAGGGCACUCUCUAAUGAGACUGCCGGUGACAAACUGGAGGAAGUGGGGAUGACGUCAGUCCUCAUGGCCCUUAUGCAGGGGCUUCACACGUCAUACAAUGGUCGGGACAGAGGGUCGCCAACCCGCGAGGGGGAGCCAAUCCCAGAAACCCGAUCGUAGUCCGGAUCGCAGUCUGCAACUCGACUGCGUGAAGUCGGAAUCGCUAGUAAUCGCGGAUCAGCAUGUCGCGGUGAAUACGUUCCCGGGUCUUGUACACACUGCCCGUCACACCAUGGGAGUGGGUUACCAGAAGUAGUUAGCCUAACCGUAAGGAGGGCGAUUACUACGGUAGAUUCAUGACUGGGGUGAAGUCGUAACAAGGUAA
rnacentral:misc_RNA from 1 species